rnacentral:tRNA from 1 species
GAAGUUUUAGGUUAACAAAACCAUUAAUUUUCAAAAUUAAAAUUAAAUAAAAAUUAAACUUCA